rnacentral:rRNA from 1 species
CCUUAUUUGAUUUUCUUCGGAACUGAAGAUUUGGUGAUUGAGUGGCGGACGGGUGAGUAACGCGUGGGUAACCUGCCCUGUACAGGGGGAUAACAGUCAGAAAUGACUGCUAAUACCGCAUAAGACCACAGCACCGCAUGGUGCAGGGGUAAAAACUCCGGUGGUACAGGAUGGACCCGCGUCUGAUUAGCUGGUUGGUGAGGUAACGGCUCACCAAGGCGACGAUCAGUAGCCGGCUUGAGAGAGUGAACGGCCACAUUGGGACUGAGACACGGCCCAAACUCCUACGGGAGGCAGCAGUGGGGAAUAUUGCACAAUGGGGGAAACCCUGAUGCAGCGACGCCGCGUGAGUGAAGAAGUAUCUCGGUAUGUAAAGCUCUAUCAGCAGGGAAGAAAAUGACGGUACCUGACUAAGAAGCCCCGGCUAACUACGUGCCAGCAGCCGCGGUAAUACGUAGGGGGCAAGCGUUAUCCGGAAUUACUGGGUGUAAAGGGUGCGUAGGUGGUAUGGCAAGUCAGAAGUGAAAACCCAGGGCUUAACUCUGGGACUGCUUUUGAAACUGUCAGACUAGAGUGCAGGAGAGGUAAGCGGAAUUCCUAGUGUAGCGGUGAAAUGCGUAGAUAUUAGGAGGAACAUCAGUGGCGAAGGCGGCUUACUGGACUGA